rnacentral:lncRNA from 1 species
CUAACUUUUGCAAAAGAUCUUGUUAAAAAGAUGAAAAAACAAAGGACGAAUGGAGAGGAAACCCUUGCAAGCAGUAUAUCUGGCCAACAUCCUGUAUCUGCAAUAGAUAGAGAACUCUCAAAACCCAAUAUGAAAACAAGAGCCAAUUAGUAAGUGGGAAAGGACAUUUCAUUAGAGAGGAGACACAGCAGGCACAUAAACACAUUAACAAGUGUUCAACAUCGUUAGUCAUUAGGGAGAUUAAUUAAAAACAUAAUAAGAUAUCACUGUGCACCUAUUAAACAACUAAAAUUUUUUGGUUACGCACGUUGUGUGCAUGGGAGCUCACAUGCCUAUGAGCCCAUGUGUACUUGCAGGUACAUGUGUGAACAUGCAUGCAUGUGUGUGUGAAGGCCAGAGGUGGACAGUUGUGUCUUCCUUGAUCAAGCUCUUCCUUGUGUACUGAAGCAAGCUCUCUUGCCCAACCAGGAACUGAUUGACCUGUUAGCAGCUCACCCUGGGGUCCACUAUGGCCACCACCUGGGCACUAGAAUUACAAGAAAGUUGCAUGCACGCCCACUUGGCAUUUUCAUAGGUAUUGGGGAAAUCUAAACUCAAUUACUGCACAACAGACACCUUUGUCCACUAAGCCACCUCCCAGUCCUCUACAAUAUUUUAAAAUGUAAUAAUAACACUAAAUUCUUGGAAAUACCCAAAGAAACUAGAUCUCUUUGGGAAUAUAAUAUUACAUUCUCUGGAAAGAUUUGGCUGUUGCUUAUAAAACUAAACCUGUACUUACCACACAACCUGACAUCUGCCCUCUUGACCCACAGAAGACAUAAACCGGUACUCACCAACAUUUUACUUGUGAUAGCCCAAACCUGAAGACAACCCGCAUGUCUUUGACAUGAGACUGGGUAAAACAAUCGAGCAUCCACACCUUAGACUGCUGUAGAAAUGAAGAGGAGUAAAGAAAGCAUGGUGCAGACGACUGCCACUCUUAAGACAAUAAACAUCGCACAAUUCUACUUAAACAUAGUUACUAUCACAAAACUACUGAGACAGGUGCACACACGCACACACACAAACAUGAGCACAUGCAUACACACCCAAAAGAGAAAAAAUGUUAAAGGGACAGACCCCAAAGACAAACUUUCUCACACUGACUCCCCCUUCUUCCUCCUUGUCCUUGUCUUCCUCCUCUUCCUUCUCCUCCUUGUCCUUCCUUCCUUCCUGAAACUCCCUCCCGCUUUCUGGGACUUCACAUUGUUCAAAAUUCUGACUUUUCUCCUGGGCACCUGGCAGAUGGCGUCCUCUGACCCAUUAGACGUUAGGACCAUAAAAUUUGCUAUGGCCAAGGAAAUGAGAACACAUAUGACAGUAAUCACUUCUAUAAGAAAGUUUGAAGCCAGAGUAUGAUUCUAAGUGACUUGAACAACACAGGCUGUGACAACCAGCAUCAAGAUGAGGUGCGAGUGGAGAAUAAACCGUGGUUAUGUUGCCCUGGAGAUCUGGGAGCUCUCCUGGCAGAUCCAGUCCACUUGACCUGAAAAUAAAGAGAAAAUGAUCUGAACUUUUUGAAAGUCAAUUUGAUGCAGGGCUGGUUCUUUCCUUUGAUACAGGAAUUCACCUUGUUGAAGUGGCUAUCCCAGUUAACUCAGGAAAUGCCAUCCAAAACUUCAAGCACCCAGAUGCUGAAGAAGAGAUUGUUACAAUAAGGGGGUCCAGCAAGCGAGAACAAUGACCCAGCCUUGGAAAUGGCAUGGUGUAGUUGUUCAAAGGAAGGUGUACCUACAAGAUGAUGCCGUGCAAUCAUUCAAUGCCAUUAGUCAUUGUAUUGGCUGAUUUUGUGUAAACUUGACACAAUCUGGAAUUAUCACAGAAAAAGGAGCUUCAGUUAAGGAAAUGUCUCUGUGAGAUCCAACUGUAAGGCAUUUUCUCAAUUAGUGAUCAAGCAGGGAGAGCCCAGGCCACUGUGAGUGGUGCCAUCUCUGGGCUGGUAGUCUUGGGUUCUAUAAGAAAGCAAGCUGAGCAAACCAGGGUAAGCAAGCCAGUAAGAAACAUCCCUCCAUGGCCUCUGCAUCAGCUCCUGCUUCCUGACCUGCUUGAGUUCCAGUCCUGACUUCCUUUGGUGAUGAACAGCAGUAUGGAAGUAUAAGCUGAAUAAACCCUUUCCUCCCCAACUUGCUUCUUGGUCAUGAUGUUUGUGCAGGAAUAGAAACCCUGACUAAGACAGCCAUUAUACUGGAACAUGCUUAUGUUUUGAUGUUAAAUGAAAACAAAAAUCACUUGUGUGUAUAGAGGAAGCAUCGAAGCAUAUGCAGCAUAUGUGUGCACAGCAGUCCCAGACCCAAAGAAAUGAAACAAACAAGAGACUGGACAUGAUGUUUGCAUUACACGUAACCCCCAGAAUUUAAUGUUCCAGAUAUGUAAAGAACCCCUAUACCCCAAAUAAAUGUGGGCAAAGAGGUAGAGAAAAUGAACAUCCAUAGCAAUGUGAACAAAUACAACCAUGAUCCCCCACCCAAAAAAAAAAUGUAUGGAAGUUCCUCGGAUGCUAGAAACAGAAUAGCCACAAGAUCGCAUUCCCUAUUGCUGGCUUUUUAGUCACGUGACCAGAAGUUGGCAUGAGAAAGUGACGUCUGCACUGCAGUGUUGACUGCAGAACUAGUUGCAAUUGUCAAGGUAUGUGCAUACGCUUCAGCCAAGCUAGGUGUCCAUCUAGGUGGCUACAGAGCUACAGUUCGAUGGGAACAUCUUCCAAUGCUCUAUAGCACAGCGAAAGUUAUGGAUUACGGUAAUUAACUGAAUAUUGCGAGGUAGCUGGAAGAAAAGGUCUCUGAUGGUUGUAACACAAAGAAAUGAUCUCUGUCUGAGGUGGCAAUCUGCCAUUUAGCCUGAUCCAUCAUUCGUGCUGCAUACACGAGUGCGUAUGUCAUGCAAAUAUGUAAUUGUUAUGUGUGAGAAAAACCAAAAGUGUUUUAAUGGCCAAAAGCUAUCGGUAGUGAAUUGCAGAAAAUUGAAACGAACUGUGAAGUUGGUACAGUGGUGGUUGAUGGUUUUUCCCGUGCUUGGGAGGCUGAAGCAGGAGGAUCUCGUAGAGUUCUAGGUCAGCCUGAACUACACAGCGAGGUCUUGGCUCAAAAUAAAAACAAAGCAAAACAAACAAAAGUCACAAGACAGGGGUGGCUUGAAGAGGCCACACCCAAUGACAGCAAUAUUUUGAUGUAUAGUAAGCCACGUGAUUAUGAUGUAACUACAGUUUCUAAAAGCAGAGAUGGGCUAGCCCCAGAGCAAGAUGGCUAAGGAGACUUACCUUAUACCAGGUCUGGGUCUGACUGAGAAGCCUCUGUAUCAGCGACUGAGGGAAAAGAGAGACAGAUGACAAUUCCUGACAUCAACCUUUGCCCUUCAUACAUGUACAGCCAUGUCUCUCUCUCUCUCUUUCUCUUUCUCUUUCUCUCUCUCUCUCUCUCUCUCUCUCUCUCUCUCUCUCUCACACACACACACACACACACACACGAUAAUGGAAAAGAUUAUAGGCAUAAUGUUUUUGUGCACUGUGUAAAGAUUGUCAUUCUGUUAUUCAUGCUGAUUUCUCUGUCCCCGUAUCUUGUUUCAACCCCGAGGCAUUGUAAUGCUUACAUCAAGAAUCUCCUGUCUCAAGUUUGUGUAAACAAUUCUUACCAUUUAUUCUCUGCUUGUCAAUAAAUGCUGAACAUCCAAUGGCUGGGCAGAAGAGAGAAUAAGGCGGGACUUCCACCAGCCAGAGGAAGGAGAAAGAUUGAAGUUUGAGCCACAGAGGAAGGUGUCUGGAAAGGGAUCAUGGAAACCCACCUGAAGCCCAAAAAGCGAGAUGAAUAAUAAAAUUCAAAUCCAAGUAUCAUGAGGGAAGUUGGUCGAGAGGUAGCCAAUUAGCUUAGGGAAAUUAUUAUAAGUAGUUUGACUGUCCAGAUACCGAGGUGAAGGCUUAAAACAAAACUUUUGUCUUUCUUUGUUAUUAUUUGGAACUAGCUAGGAUAAAGACAUACAACCACUGUAUUAAUUUACUACUUAAAUGUAUAUUAAAAGUUAUAUUUACAAAAAAUAAUAAAUUAAGAAUAUAAUAAAGCAAGGCAGAUCUCAGAUGAGUAAAACAGAAUGCUACUACUGUAUUCCAUUGCGGUAAAGGGAAUCAUGGGAGUGUGAGCAUCGCCACGGGAGGCUGGCAAUGGUGGUCUCUUGUUAGAACUGUGAGCGACAUUUUCUUCCUUGUACUUUUCUGAGAUUUCCAAGGAUUCUCUGUAAACAUGUUAUGUUUUAUAACUGGGAAAAACAUGCAUUAAUCUUCCCCUCUCUUAUUCAGUUUCAAUAAAAAGAUACUACUUUGGUUUGUUCAUAUUUUGUGUAGCAAAUGUAGUACAGAAUUGCAGGGAGUGGGACGAGCUUUCUCCCUUCCAGAUUUAAAUAGAGAAAAGAAUUUAGCAAGAUUGCCAUUCACAUUGUCCUACCUUUCAGCAUGGCAAAGCCCUUUGUCCCAGGGCUGGAAAUCUAAUGAUGGACUGUGGUUCAUUUUUAUCAUUACAACUGUAAUCUCCUCCUCGGUUGUCUGGAAAUUAAGUCCUGAAACCCUGGCCUGCACCCGCACUUCUGAGAGGAAUCUUGUCACCAUAUCCAGAUAGAAUAGAAUACUGGCUGAAGGCAGAAACGUUCCCAUGUGACUCUAAGCUUGCUCAACCACUCGCUGGUUAGUAUAACUCUGAGCAGAUCAGUCUACCUUGGUAAGUUUAAGCUUUCAUGUGUGAAGAGAGGUUGUGGUAGGUUUUUUUGUUUGUAAAACAAAGAAACCAAAAUCAAACAUACUUAUUCACACACACACUUUCUCUCAUAUACAUACAUUCACACACACAGGCACACUCAUAUACACACUCACAUACAUGUACACUGUCACAUACUGUCUCACACAUUCUCUCUCUCUCACAUACAUACAUACAUACAUACAUACAUACAUACAUACAUACACAUACACACACACACACACACACACACACACACACACACACACACACCUCAAGCUAUAGUAGCACUCAGAACUUGAGGGUCAGAAGUAGAACACUAAUAAGCUCAUUUCAGACCCUGCUUAGAUGGUCUCAGCCCUGAGCCUGGGAACCAUAUCUCCUUGCCUAGGUUAUAUGUUUCCACAGUUUCUGUCAGGGUCUCUGCAGAAAGUGUUAUGACAUUGCAAGCCCAGAAACAAAACAAAACAAAUCCAGAAUUAUCUCCUGCAGGGCACCGAAAUGUCAGCUUUUACCCCACACGGGCUUCUUUUAAAAAUAAGAUAUUACAAAAUUUUUAUGAUUAUGUUAUGUGUAUGGGCAUUUUCCUUAUAUGUAUGCCUGUGCACCACAUGUGUGCAUAGUGCCUGCUAAGUCAGAAGAGGAUGUCAGAUCACCUGGAACUGGUUACAGAUGGUUGUAAGUCACCAUGAGGUUGCUGAGAAUCAAACCUGGGUCCUCCAAAGGAGCAGCAAGUGCUUUUUAAUCAUGGAACCAUCUCUCCGGCACCUUAAAAAAUUAUUCAUGUGUAUGUGUCUGUGUCUAUGUGAAUGUAUGAUGUAUGUGAGUGUGGUACCCAUGGAGCCCAGAAAUAACUGGACCCCUAGAGGUGGAGUUGCAAGCAGUUGUGAGCUGUUUGCCGUGGGUGCUGGGAGCUGAACUCGGGUCUUCUGUAAGAGCACAAAGUGCUCUUAACUACAGAACCAUCUCUCCAGCCACAUCCCACAGAGCUUGUUUGCUUGUUUUUGUUCUUAAUGAUUUAUUUUCAUUAUUUAAAAGUAAGUGUGUGUGUGUGUGUGUGUGUGUGUGUGUGUGUGUGUAUACACAUGAACACAUGAGGGCAGGUAGGCAUUGGAUCUCGCAAUGCUGGAGUUACAGGUAAUUGUGAGCUGCCUGAUAUGGAUACUCGGAAUCAAACUCAGGGCCUCUGGAAGAACAGCACACUGCUCCUAACCACUGAGCCAUCUUCCCAGUGUUCCCAGAUAGUAUUUAUGAGGUGAAAUUGCAGUGUGAAGAAGGCAGUUGGCUUAGUCAGUGGCAGGCCCUCUACAUUAGCUAGCAGGUUGCCCAGGCAACAUCAGGAGAGUCAGUGCAACUCUCAAAGCCUCAAUAGCACCCAUUCUAAGCAGGUGACAUGUCACACAUUCAGUAAAUUCCUUAGAGAGGGAUAACGUCAUACACACCACCCUCAAAGACUGUGAUUGCUGGCUUGAGAAGGAUUCUGAGGCUGUGUGCCCAUCAGAAAGUAGUGCCAUGCCCAGUACAGAAUACCUACAGGCCCUCAGGCUUCACACUUACAGUAUCUGUUUUACACUAAUAUCCAAACACUAAGGUAUGCGGUGGUCCAGUGGUCCAGCUCAGUGGAUUAGGGUGCUAACUGUGGGAGCAUGAUUAUCUCUGGGACCCACAUAAAGAUGGAGGUAGAGAACUGAUUCUCCAAAGUUGUCCUCUGACCUCUACAUUCCUGUGACAGCACCCAGCGAGCAUCCUCCAUACGAUGUUUUAAAAAUGUCCUUGAGCCCUUUGCUUAACUUUGAGUUGGUAAAUAAUUAAAAUACAGGAUGACACACAGAUUUCCCAUACACAUUAAGAAGGGCAAUGUCACAUGGGGUUUGAGAAAGGAUAGGGGCAGCCAUGUGUCCUGUGGGCUCUCAUAGUCUCAGUGCCUACUCUACAGGGGAAGCUCAAUCAACAUUUUUUUCCACACCAAACUGGAAACAGUCACAAAGAAAAAUUUCCCACGGAAGGCAGAGCACAUUGGUGAAAUUAAGCCGUGUGGGACUUGGGUUCUGUUAAUGUUCUGCUCAUGGGUUUUAUGUGUUUUUGUAUAUAAUUCGUGGCAUUUAUAUUAAAUCCGUAAAUAAAAUAUUGCUCCGUUCGUGGGAACUCAAUAAAGCAUUUG